ensembl:lncRNA
UACGAGCUACUACCUACACCAACUAACCCUACAUCAUAGAGAGCACUACAUACCACAAACUAACCACAUCAUACAGCACUACUACAUACCACCAACUAACCCUACAUCUACUGCAUAAGCACACUACAACCACCAACUAACCCACAUCAUAGAGCUACUACAUACCACCAACAACCCUACACAUAUAGAGCUCUACAGAACACCAACUACCCUACAUCAUACGCAGCUACUACUACCACCAACUAAACCCUAAAUCUAUACAGAGCUACUACAUACCACCAACUAACCCUAAAUCUUCUGCAUAUAGCACUACUACAUACCACCAACUAACCCUUCAUCUAUACAGAGCUACUACAUACCACCAAACUAACCCUAAAUUCUUCUGCAUAAGCCCUACAUACAUACACCAACUAACCCCUACAUCACAGCACUACUACAUACCACCAACAAACCCUACAUCCUACGAGCUACUACAUACCACCAACCUAACCCUACAUCUAUACAGAGCUACACAUACCACCAACUAACCUACAUCUAUACAACACUACACAUACCACCAAACUAACCCUACAUCAUACGCACUACUACACUACCACCAACUAACCCUACAUCUAUACAGCACCACUACAUACCCCCACUAACCCCACCCUACAUCUAUACAGCACCACUACAUACCCACCAACUAACCCUACAUCCAUAUAGAGCUACAUACCACCAACUAACCCUACAUUAUAGAGCUACUACAUACACCAACUAACCCUACAUCUAUACAGCACCACUACAAUACCACCAACUAACCCUACCUCUAUAUAGAGCUACUACAUACCACCAACUAACCCUACUCUAUAUGAGCUACUACAUACCACCAACUAACCUAAAUCUAUAUAGAGCUACUACAUCCACCAACUAACCCUAAAUCUUCGCAUAUAGCACCACUACAUACCACCACAACUACCCAAUCUAUCAGCACUACACAUACCACCAACUAACCGACAUUACGUUAUACAGCUGAACAUGACCACCAACCGUAACCCUAAAGAUGAGCGACGACAGGACACCAAACUAACCCUACAUCUAUACAGCACCACUACAUACCACCAACUAACCCUACAUCUAUACAGCACUACUACAUAAGACCAACUAACCCUACAUCUAUAUAGAGCUACUACAUACCACCAACUAACCCUACAUCUAUACAGAGCUACUACAUACCACAAACUAACCCUAAAUCUACUGCAUAUAGCACUACUACAUAAGACCAACUAAUCCUACAGUACAUCUAUAUAUAUUACUAGUUCAGCGUUUCCAAAACCCGGUCCCGAGGACCCCAAAGGGUGCACGUUUUGGUUUUUGCACUUGCACUACACAGCUGAUUCAAAUAAUGAACUCAUCAUCACGUUUUGGUUAUUUGAAUCAGCUGUGUAGUGCUAGAGCAACAACCAGAAUGUGCACCCUUUUGGGUCCCCAGGACUGAGUUUGGGAAAAGCUGCUCUAGGGCAUCUGUUUUCACUGCCUCUCUCUUGCACCGGUAACUUCUGAUCGCUAGCAACAUGGGCACCCCCACAAUUGACACAGUUUUUUCCACCGAUACUACAAAUUCCUCCUGCACACUUCUCACAUCUCGGAAUCUCCCUCCUACACACUGCUGCAACAUGACCAUAAGCUUGGCAUCUGAAACACCUUAGUGGGUUUGGCACAAAAGCUCUCCCGG